CAGGCCCUGACUGAAGACUAGCAGUUACACACAGCUGUUGGUUUCAAGCAGAGGCCCAGAGGAUUAUCUUCCGGUGGUCUUUUGGCAAUUCUGGAACUUCAGCUGAGAAUGGCCAUUUCCUUUGGAAGAAACAUCC